rnacentral:ncRNA from 1 species
AAGGUGAGCUCAGGAAGAUAGAAACUUCCUCUUGGAGCUGAAGGGCAAAAGCUGGCUUGAUCUUGAUUUUUAGUAUGAAAACAGAUAGUUAAAACAC